CUUGGCGACCAUAGCGUUUUGGACCCACCUGAUCCCAUUCCGAACUCAGAAGUGAAAUGAAAUAGCGCCGAUGGUAGUGUGGGGUUUCCCCAUGUGAGAGUAGGACAUCGCCAGGC
rnacentral:rRNA from 1 species